rnacentral:rRNA from 1 species
AUUGAACGCUGCCGGCAUGCCUUACACAUGCAAGUCGAACGGCAGCACGGGUGCUUGCACCUGGUGGCGAGUGGCGAACGGGUGAGUAAUACAUCGGAACAUGUCCUGUAGUGGGGGAUAGCCCGGCGAAAGCCGGAUUAAUACCGCAUACGAUCUACGGAUGAAAGCGGGGGACCUUCGGGCCUCGCGCUAUAGGGUUGGCCGAUGGCUGAUUAGCUAGUUGGUGGGGUAAAGGCUUACCAAGGCGACGAUCAGUAGCUGGUCUGAGAGGACGACCAGCCACACUGGGACUGAGACACGGCCCAGACUCCUACGGGAGGCAGCAGUGGGGAAUUUUGGACAAUGGGCGAAAGCCUGAUCCAGCAAUGCCGCGUGUGUGAAGAAGGCCUUCGGGUUGUAAAGCACUUUUGUCCGGAAAGAAAUCCUUGGUUCUAAUAUAGCCGGGGGAUGACGGUACCGGAAGAAUAAGCACCGGCUAACUACGUGCCAGCAGCCGCGGUAAUACGUAGGGUGCGAGCGUUAAUCGGAAUUACUGGGCGUAAAGCGUGCGCAGGCGGUUUGCUAAGACCGAUGUGAAAUCCCCGGGCUCAACCUGGGAACUGCAUUGGUGACUGGCAGGCUAGAGUAUGGCAGAGGGGGGUAGAAUUCCACGUGUAGCAGUGAAAUGCGUAGAGAUGUGGAGGAAUACCGAUGGCGAAG